rnacentral:lncRNA from 1 species
GACUAUUGACCUAUGUAACGUUUCAGAUGAAGAAUUACUAUGUUAUUCAGCUCGCACAUGGACAUUAUUGCUUUACAAAGCAAAAUGUCUAGACCGCCGCCCGAGUCCUUAACCAACUCCAAAUGAAAAAUAUAAGAUGGCGAAAUACCUGGUUCACUACAUAGGAUGGCAUGAAAAAUGGGAUCAAUGGGUGACUGAUGACUGAUUAAUAAAAAUAACCGAUAUUAAUUUAAAAUAUAAGGAACAACUAAGAAUCCAAGCAGAGAUGUAGUAUAUUUGUACAAAUUACAUUAGCAUACUAUAUUGAUUAAAAUAUUAUUUUUGUUUAUUUUAUGUUCAGUUUUGAAUCGCAAAACCCGCACUAGACUAACAAAAGAUGAAAAAAAAACAACGCGAAGUAACUAAGAAGGAAACAAAACCCAAAGCUACUCAACUAAUAUCUUAGGUUAGGUUUAAUAUUCAAGUAAUCAAUGCCAAUUUUUUUAAUAUAAUAAAAUGUAUUUGUAAUGUUAUAAUGUUAAUUAUAAAAACAUGAGAAAUAAAAGUGAUAAAAUAUAAUAAUGGUGACGAUUACUCUGUUAGACAUUCAAAUAGAAAUUAAUUAUAUAUAUAUAUAUAUAUAUAUAUAUAUUUAUAUAGACCAUUAAAGCAAGAUGACUUCAAUCCUUUCAUGCAGCGAGCCACAUAUUAUUUUCUACAAAUCUUGCGGGGCCGUUCAUAAUAAACAUGUAUAUUUUAUACAAAAAUCUAGUUUUUUUUUUUUUUGGUUUAAUAAAUUUGUUGAGAAAACUCCGGAAAAAAUCAAAACAUACCUUCUCACACCGAUUUCCUUAAAAAUCGCUUUUAUUUCUCAUGUUUUUAUAAUUAACAUUAUAACAUUACAAAUACAUUUUAUUAUAUUAAAAAAUUGGCAUUGAUUACUUGAAUAUUAAACCUAAACUAAGAUAUUAGUUGAGUAGCUUUACGUUUUGUUAUCUUCUUAGUUUCUUCGCGUUGUUUAUUUUCUUCUUUUGACAGUCUUGUGCGAGUUUUGCGAUUCAAAACUGAACAUAAAAUAAACAAUAAUAAUAUUUUAAUCAAUAUAGUAUGCCAAUGUAAUUUGUACAAAUAUACUAAAUCUCUGCUUGUAUUCGUAAUUGUUCCUUAUGUUUUAAAUUAAUUUCUGUUAUUUUUAUUAAUCAGUCAUC